UCGAAUUCAGUGGGAGAGACCGGACGGGCCCGCCCGUCCGGCGCCGAAGGAGCAACCGCCCCGGAAACUCUCAGGCAAUAGGGACCGCUGAAGGACG
rnacentral:ncRNA from 2 species